rnacentral:rRNA from 1 species
CCUACGGGAGGCAGUAGUGAGGAAUAUUGGUCAAUGGGCGGAAGCCUGAACCAGCCAAGUAGCGUGCGGGAUGCAGGCCCUACGGGUCGUACACCGCUUUUGCACGGGGAUAACACCAUCCACUUGUGGAGGUCUGCAGGUACCGUGCGAAUAAGGGCCGGCUAAUUCCGUGCCAGCAGCCGCGGUAAUACGGAGGAUGCGAGCGUUAUCCGGAUUUAUUGGGUUUAAAGGGUGCGUAGGGGGAGUGUCAAGUCAGCGGUAAAAUUUCGGGGCUCAACCCCGUCGUGCCGUUGAAACUGACGCCCUUGAGUGAGUGAGAGGUAAGCGGAAUGCGUGGUGUAGCGGUGAAAUGCAUAGAUAUCACGCAGAACGCCGAUUGCGAAGGCAGCUUACCGGCGCUCAACUGACGCUGAGGCACGAAAGUGCGGGUAUCGAACAGGAUUAGAUACCCCUGUAGUC